ensembl:lncRNA
CAAAACUAGGUCAAUUGGGAACCCACCUGCAUAUUGAUUGCAGGCUGGCACCAGGUAUAAAGCUAAGCCGGUGCUUCUUUGGAUUAUUCCUUCCAUGCAUUCAGCGCAAAGCAGCAGUAAAUGCUGACACUCUGCGACGGACUGAUCGGCAAGAGUAGAUCAUAUGACAGCCACAGCGCGGCAGGUUGUUUUAUUCCGGCGUUGCGGAGAGAGGUGCUUGUGCGAUUUCCCCCACCAGUGAGAGUAUAACGCCUCCGGUCCUGGGGGCGUGAUCGCUGCCUUCACCUCCGUGGCAACUCACACAGCCUUAAGUGAAGAAUCAAGACACCUGCCUAGCCGUUGUUGUGAGGGCUCCUCCUCAGUGGAGCCUGCUGUCUUGUCUUGUCUUGUCUUGUCUGGUUUUGAAUUGUUUUACCUUGUCUUAUUUGGUUUUAUUAAGUAGGCCUACCAUUUCCUGGUUCGCCUGGUUUUAUUUUAUUUUAUCUCUGGAUUGUUGCGUGUGCCCACGCUUCUGUGAUCGGGCUGAAGCAAUUCUUUGCCCGAGUGUCGUGCCGGGGAUUUUAAAUUGCCCCCGUUGCUGGUCUUAGCCUGUGGGGAGCCAGACCAGCUCGCGAUUGAGGCUGGGACCAUUACUACCAGUACGAGUGGACCCGCGGGGCACAAGCCUUCCUGUGUGUGUGUGUGUGUGUGUGUGUGUGUGUGUGUGUGUGUGUGUGUGUGUGUGUGGUUUCUUUUAUUAAAGCUAUUAAAGUGUGUUUUAGUUCUUUGUAUCAUCUGUAGCGAGCCUGACGCUCAGUGUCCUGUUAUUCUUUUAACAUAUUUUUCUGUGUUUUCUUUUAGUGAACGGAGGACGUACCAGUGGCCCUGGGACCUCAGGUGGUGGGUCGUUUUCACACUUUCUUUUGUACAGCACCGGGUGGGCUGCAGUGAUUUUCGUUGUGUGUGAUUUUCUUUUGGGUCCACGGCUGCUGGUAAGUCCAAGUUCCAUGAUUGUUUUAUUUUUGCGUUAAGACACUGUCAACAAUGACGCUACAUUUUGGUUUCUAAUAUUUUAUUUAUUUUUAUUAUAAAUAAACUGUUUUAAUAUUGGA